GCACUGCUCGCCGCCGCUUGGCCCCGUCGGGCUCGGCACCCAGCGUGACGCAGGGCAUCGCCGCCAGCGCGAGGGCGACGGCUGGCAGCCCGACGAAGCACGCGACGACCAUCAGCGUGCGGCACGCCUUAGGCAGACAGGCGCCUCUACCCUACCUGGCAAGGCGAGGAUUUGGUUUAGCGCGACGCAGUGGUACAGCGCCGUGGAGAUGACACAGUCCACCCAGAGCCCCCGGGUGCGCAGCUCGUCCAUCCGCCGGCAGGUAUGCAUGUCAUACUUGCAGGUGAGUACCCAGUCACCGGUGGCGGUGGCGAUGAUGAUGCCGACCCAGCCGAGGCAGCUGACCACGAAGCCACUGAACCGUAUGCAGCCGCGAGCCAUGGGGAAAUGGUUGCUUUGGAUGCGCGAUAAGGAGAGUGGAAGAGGGUCCAACCCCCUUCAAGGAGACUGGUUCCAGAGCCUAAGCUGUGUGUCGAGGGAGGACAGCAGACGGGACAAAUACGUAUUUAGAGGAUAAAACGGGCCGUUGAAGAAAAACGUCAGCUGUGAAAAUCCUCACCAAUCGCUUUAAUGACAUUCAUUUAUUAAAUGAAAAUUAUCACCAGCAAAAUUUUGAAACGUGGCGCAGAAUGUUUUCGAUUUGUAACGUAACCGGUUCCCCUACCCUCCAGCCACCACUUCAUGAAGUUGGGAAGCGUAAAAGCGAGUCUCCAAAACACCAGAAAACCUGAAAAAAAGCUAGUUGCUUUUUUUGAAAAAGAGUUGCUAGAGGGGUCUGAAAACUCGUUAAAUAGUUGCUAAGUUGGAAAACUGACCUGUGUGUAGAUGCACAUAUGGUGACAGUGAG